AUUGAACGCUGGCGGCAUGCCUUACACAUGCAAGUCGAACGGCAGCACGGGAGCAAUCCUGGUGGCGAGUGGCGAACGGGUGAGUAAAGUAUCGGAACGUGCCCAGUCGGGGGGGAUAACGUAGCGAAAGUUACGCUAAUACCGCAUACGAUCUAUGGAUGAAAGCGGGGGAUCGCAAGACCUCGCGCGAUUGGAGCGGCCGAUAUCAGAUUAGGUAGUUGGUGGGGUAAAGGCUCACCAAGCCGACGAUCUGUAGCUGGUCUGAGAGGACGACCAGCCACACUGGGACUGAGACACGGCCCAGACUCCUACGGGAGGCAGCAGUGGGGAAUUUUGGACAAUGGGCGCAAGCCUGACCCAGCCAUGCCGCGUGCAGGAUGAAGGCCUUCGGGUUGUAAACUGCCUUUGUACGGAACGAAAAGGUUUGACUUAAUACGUUGGACUCAUGACGGUACCGUAAGAAUAAGCACCGGCUAACUACGUGCCAGCAGCCGCCGUAA
rnacentral:rRNA from 1 species